GAUGAACGCUGGCGGCGUGCCUAAUACAUGCAAGUCGAGCGAAUGGAUUAAGAGCUUGCUCUUAUGAAGUUAGCGGCGGACGGGUGAGUAACACGUGGGUAACCUGCCCAUAAGACUGGGAUAACUCCGGGAAACCGGGGCUAAUACCGGAUAACAUUUUGAACCGCAUGGUUCGAAAUUGAAAGGCGGCUUCGGCUGUCACUUAUGGAUGGACCCGCGUCGCAUUAGCCAGUUGGUGAGGUAACGGCUCACCAAGGCAACGAUGCGUAGCCGACCUGAGAGGGGGAUCGGCCACACUGGGACUGAGACACGGCCCAGACUCCUACGGGAGGCAGCAAUAGGGAAUCUUCCGCAAUGGACGAAAGUCUGACGGAGCAACGCCGCGUGAGUGAUGAAGGCUUUCGGGUCGUAAAACUUUGUGGUUAGGGAAGAACAAGUGCUAGUUGAAUAAGCUGGCACCUUGACGGUACCUAACCAGAAAGCCACGGCUAACUACGUGCCAGCCGCCGCGGUAA
rnacentral:rRNA from 1 species